rnacentral:rRNA from 1 species
UUGGAGGGCAAGUCUGGUGCCAGCAGCCGCGGUAAUUCCAGCUCCAAUAGCGUAUAUUAAAGUUGUUGCAGUUAAAAAGCUCGUAGUUGAAUUUCGGAAUCCAUCCGUCGGUCGGGCUUCACGGUCCGCACUGGUGUGAUGGAUUCCUACCUUCUGAAUAACCAGCAUGCUAUUAAUUUGGUGCGUUGGGGAAGCAGGACUGUUACCUUGAAAAAAUUAGAGUGCUUAAAGCAGGCUAGUGCCUGAAUACAUUAGCAUGGAAUAAUGAAAUAGGACGGCAUGGUUCUAUUUUGUUGGUUUCUAGGAUCACCGUAAUGAUUAAUAGGGAUAGUUGGGGGCAUUAGUAUUCAAUUGUCAGAGGUGAAAUUCUUGGAUUUAUUGAAGACUAACUUCUGCGAAAGCAUUUGCCAAGGAUGUUUUCAUUAAUCAAGAACGAAAGUUAGGGGAUCGAAGACGAUCAGAUACCGUCGUAGUCUUAACCAUAAACUAUGCCGACUAGGGAUCGGACGAUGUUAAUUUUUUAAUGACUCGUUCGGCGCCUUACGGGAAAC